UACGAAGGGGGCUAGCGUUGUUCGGAUUUACUGGGCGUAAAGCGCGUGUAGGCGGGUCGUUAAGUUGGGGGUGAAAUCCCGAGGCUCAACCUCGGAACUGCCUUCAAAACUGGCGACCUGGACUCAAGCAGAGGCAAGUGGAAUUGCGAGUGUAGAGGUGAAAUUCGUAGAUAUUCGCAGGAACACCAGUGGCGAAGGCGACUUGCUGGGCUUGUGGUGACGCUGAGACGCGAAAGCGUGGGGAG
rnacentral:rRNA from 1 species